AUACGUGAUGCUGAAGUUGCGUGGGUGUCAAGCUAUUUCAAGUUAAUAGUGAAUCACAAAAUAGUAUAUCGUUACCAGACCUGUUGAUAUGCUGCUAGCUCCUCAAUGGUGAUCUUAAAUUUUCAAUUUUUUGCCAAGAUAUAAUAACAAUUUUAUAACAGAGAUGAUGUAAGUAAAAAAAUGCAGCUCAGAAAUUGGCCGAGUGAAGCUACAGCAUAUGAAAUUUUGUCGCAUCAGAGCAAAAAAGCUGACACAAUAGAGGUUUCGGUAUCAAAGUUGAGAGGAUCGUUGUCAAAAUCUGGUAUCUUCGGUCGCGGAUCGCACAACACGAGAAUCGUUGCAACUCGACGCCAAAACUAACAUAAGCCUGCAAGUGCUGCAUUUACGAAACUGUUUUUAGAUGGAUCAACGUUAAAUACUUGUGCGUGCUUGCUGUAGAGUAUUAAACUGUUUCGUGUUACUUCAUCAACACUUGGGAUAAUAGUAACCAAGCAUUAUUGUUCUCCUUAAAUUAUAUAUUUCUAAUAAUCUCCUAAGGCCUCGUGUACAUUAAAAUUUCCCGACAUAGUAUCGUCGGCAUUCAGUAAAAAGGGCAUAAGUGACAUUUCGAAAAAUUAAAAAUUUCGAAAAGAGGAGCAUCUUUUAGAUUAUAACAAAUGUUUAAAAUAUUAUUUACGUUCUGCUUUUUAACAAUGAAUUUUAAUUCAAUUUUGGUUUUAAUUGGUUUAAGUUUAAAAACUGCAUUCAAAUAUAAAACAGUCGUGAAAACCGAAACCAUGCUCCUCUGAAAAAUGUUUCGAAAUGUCGCUUAUGCGCUUUCUAUAAAACAUCGACUAUGUGAACUGAUUCAGACCCGGGUCAACAUUAUUCCUAUGAUCACGUAAACGCCCAAUGUACAAUGUCAUGUAAGUAUUGCAUUACA